UACGUAGGGCGCAAGCGUUGUCCGGAAUUAUUGGGCGUAAAGAGCUCGUAGGCGGUUUGUCGCGUCUGCUGUGAAAACCUAAGGCUCAACCUUGGGCUUGCAGUGGGUACGGGCAGACUAGAGUGCGGUAGGGGUGACUGGAAUUCCUGGUGUAGCGGUGGAAUGCGCAGAUAUCAGGAGGAACACCGAUGGCGAAGGCAGCUCGCUGGGACGGUACUGGACGCUGAGGCGACGAAAGCGUGGGGAGCGAACAGG
rnacentral:rRNA from 1 species